UUCCCCUUGGCCGCCGCCCCCCCCUGUCCACCUCCUCCUCCCUCCAUUGUUGCAGCCACCAAAACCCUAGCCGCCCCCCCCCAAUCCCCUCCUCCCUAGGUGCUACUCCGUGCCGCUCGGAUCAUCGUCUUUUGGUGCGAAUCUCCAAUCAUUUUGGUGGAAGGAAGAAGGGAGGAAGGAAAAGGGGAGAACCCAAGGUGAUUUUUCUUUUGUGUUCAUCCCUUGUUCAUUUGCGCUGCGAUUCAAUGGAUUAGAUGUUGCGUUUGCGAUUAGAUAGAGGGGGGCUGUCCAGAAUUUUGCGUGGUGGAUGAACAGCGGUAGUUCCAGCAGUUUUUAGUUUUUUUCGUGAAGAUUUAAUGGGGAUCAAUUUGGGAAUCUUGUAGAACUUUGUUUUAUCUUUCCAACGAGUAUUUAUGCGCUCAAUUUGGAGUUAUAAAUUAAAAGUUAUCAUCGUUUGAAUCCGGGUAUGUGGCUGUCCAGAAAACAGAUUUUUCAGAGUGAUGAACAGCAGCAGUGUUAGCAGUUUCUGGGGAUUUUUCGGGAGCAAUUAGUGUUAAUCAGUAUGGGAAUCUUGUAGAACUUUGUUUUAUCUUUCCAACGAGUAUUUAUGCGCUCAAUUUGGAGUUAUAAAUUAAAAGUUAUCAUCGUUUGAAUCCGGGUAUGUGGCUGUCCAGAAAACAGAUUUUUCAGAGUGAUGAACAGCAGCAGUGUUAGCAGUUUCUGGGGAUGUUUCGGGAGUAAUUAGUGUUAAUCAGUAUGAGAAUCAUGUAGGGCUUUUUCUUAUCUUUCCAACAAGUACUUAUGCGCUCAAAUCGAAAUUAUAUUUUAAAAGUUAUCGCUGUUUGAAUCCGCGUAUGUCGCUGCUCAAAUCAGAAAAAAACAGAUUGCAGGGUUUAUUUUGAGGACCGUUUAGAGGUAAGUAGAUGUUAGAAUUCAAUCAUGAGUUGUAUACAAAACUUGUGGGGAAUUUUAUGUAGUUGUCUCUGAAGUUUUUGUUUAUCAUCACUGCUGUCCUAAAUUUUAAGUUAUGGAAUUGUUAAGCAGCGCCGCUGCAGUUUGGUUAGUGAGGGGAGAAUUGUUACCGUGGCGGGGUUUGAGAUUGCGCGUAGGUGCGGUGUUGUCUUUGAGUUUUUUUUCAUGAGAAUUUGGUGCACUAAGUUGGGUGUCAAAAACAGGUGGUGGACUUCCGGAUCGUUCUUAGGGAUUUUGCCCGAACUUCGGUAAAGGCAAGUAAAACAGUGAUGGUUAUUUCGUCUUUUGAUUGAAGAGUCUCAUACUUGAUUAUGUUUGUGCUACUUGUGUUCAUAUCCAUAUUCCUAAUUGGGUACCAUCGUUUGAAAUUAUUCAUGCUCUGUUGAUUAUACAUGUGGAGGGUGUGGUUUGAUCAUGUUACCCAUGUGGUUAUUGAUGUGAAAUGGGUGGAGGUAUAUGUCUAGCACAUCUUAUUUGGGAAGAACUCAUGUUGUUGACAUGCAUAAUGCAUUCAUCAUCCAUUGCAUUGAAGUUUUCGUCGCGAUCUUAUGGUCCGACCGUACCGGUACAAUGAGCAUCAUAUGUUUUCCCGAGAAGGGGUAUGAUGCAGCUUCAUAUCCUUAGAGGUAUGAAGGCAGAAGUCAUGUUGCAUCUGUAGCCAUGUGCAUUCAUGGGUGAAGUGUGGAACCUAUUUUGGUGAUGUGGAUAAGGUGGAUCUUUACUUUGUAAUUCUUCUUGGCAUUGAGUAAUUGAGUAUUUGCUUACUUGCUGCAAAUUAAUAUUUAAGGAAGAAGUUGGGAACCAUGUGGUUGCUUAUGCACGGUUGGCUUGCAUUGUCCAACUGUUGUUUGUUUUUUUACUUGCUGAGAUGUGUCAUCUCACUCUUGCAUUGUCUGAUGCAGGCACCUGAUCUUUGCUUUGGGAGAAGGGAUGUAGCAGCACGGCCACCACACUUUUAAAUAAAGGAAUAACUGAUUAUUAAUGAUGUUAAACAGGAAGGGUCAAGUCUAGGGAAUUAUUACAUUCUAAUCUUUCAUGGUAGUUGAACUGUUUAGUUUGGUGGGCUGAGAUGACUAUCUUUUGUCUGGUCAUGAAUGUUCUUUUCUACCGUUGCAUUUCGAUUAUACUAUGUCAAUUAUCUUUCUUUUAUAUCCUGUAUAAACUAUAUGCUUUCCUUGUUAUGCUACUUUCAAGGGAGGUGCUGCCGGAUUUUGCAAUACUUUCUUUCUCUAUGUGUUGCAUAAGUUUUGUAGAAAGGUUUCUUUUGGUAUCAUCCAUUGUGUGGGAUCAGUGGGGUGUUACAGUUGGUAUCAGAGGUUAGGCUGUAGGUCCUAGCAAGUGGAGUAGUAAUAAAUUGACACACUGCACAUGUAGGAUGGGUUUUCGGUCUUGCUAUUGAUAUGAUUAUGUUAUUCUCUGUGCUAGUUUUGACAUUAUCUAGAGAGAUGCUAUGCUUAUCUCACAUACUUAUUAUUCUCAUCCCUGUGGAUACAGCUAUGCCGCCUCGUAGAGCUCGGGCUAGUCCGCAAGCUCCUAGUGGGGACUCGAUGAGUCCGGCGGCAAUGUUAGCCGCGAUGCAGGCCAUGCAGCAGGAGUUGGCCCUACUGAGGCAAGCCAUUUCUGUAGCCCCUGCUGGUGCUGCUCAGGGAGCUGGAGGUGGAGAAGUGCCCGGGGGCGCUGUCCCUGCGGGUGCUGUUCCUGGUGGCGGGGCCGGGGUGCCUCUUCCAGUCAGUGGUCUUUCUCUGAUGCAGUGGAUGGGCAUGAAGAUGGAUUCUUUUGAUGGCAGUGGUACUCCGGUCGAGGCGGCAGAUUGGCUGACUUAUGUGGAAGAUAAGAUGAAUGUCUUCGAGAUUGCUUAUGAAGAUCGGGUUCGCUUUGGCACUCAGCUGCUGAAGGGUGAGGCGCAGAUUUGGUGGAGAGGCGUGCAGGCAGCGCACUCCUCCUCACCAGGAGUCCUAUCAUGGGAUGUUUUCAUCAGGCAGUUCGAAAGGAGAUUCUACCCGGUCACCUUUCUGGAGAAAAUGAAGAUUGACUUGCAGUCCUUCAAGCAGGAGAAGAAGUCUGUCACAGAGUAUGAGGUGGGCUUCAACAAAAUGGUCCACUUUGUCCCUCAUGUGGCUUAUAAUGAGAUGGAGAAGGCGAGCCAAUUCCGUCAGGGUCUGAAGCCUUCUAUCAGGCAUGCUCUGGGGGCCUUUCCGUUGGUGGACUUCCGUACCACAGUGGAGCAGGCGCUGGGUGUGGAGAUGCAACACCAGUACACCAUGGAGUCGCAGAAGUCUUCGGGUGUUGAUCAACCUCGUAGCCAGGACACGAGGAGGGGCAACACUGGAGGUCCAGCUCACAAGAGGGGCAAGUCUCAGCAUCAGCGCCACCAUCCUUACCGUGGCAAAUCUUCUGACUCAGGUACUUCAGGAGGAAGUACUCAGAGGUUUCGGGCCGUUCCUAAGCCCGGGUUGGGGCUGGUGUGUUUCCGCUGUGGAGAUGCGCAUCGCCGUGCAGAGUGUCAGUGGAGUGGCAGGUGUUCUAUCUGCAGUCAGGACCACAAGGAUGUGGUGUGUAGGAGGAAUCCCAGUGGGAAGCUCAGAUGGGAGCCGAUAGCUUCCUCCUCUUCUCAGGGCACUAUCAAUAUGAUGUCAAGUGCUGAGCAGCAGUUUUCAGUUCCUCUUCCUCCACAGCAGCUUUAUGUGCCCGGGACUUCUCAGUUCGUGCCGAUGCAAGGUUUUCCGCAGUAUCAGGUUGUGCCUACUCCUGCGCUGUCUACCCCUGUGCUGUCUCAGUUUGGAGCUCCGCGCCAGCCUCCUCCGGUGGCUCAGUGGGGUUCUUCUGUUAAUUUCACUCCGGGAGCUUCCUCUUCUGCGGGUAUUUCUGGAGCUUAUGUGCUACCCGCUACGGAUGGCAGGGAGCAAGGAGACGUGGUGACAGGUACGAUUUCAGUUGAUUCAUUUGCAGCCCAUGCUCUUUUUGACUCUGGCGCUAGCUAUUCGUUUGUUUCGGAGGAUUUUGUGUCGCGGGCUGGUCUUUCGGUGCAGAGGUUGGGUCACCCAAUUUUGGUCAGUUCUGCUAAUGGCUCCAUUAGUAGCUGUUCAGUUUGUCAGGGGUGUUCCGUCAUUCUUGCUGAUGAGGUUUUUUCGGCUAAUCUGGUGGUGAUUCCCUUGGGGGCAUUCGAGGUUAUCUUGGGUAUGGAUUGGUUAUCCCAGUAUCGCGCGGUUAUAUCCUGUUUCUGGAAGACAGUGUUAUUGCAGGCGCCGUCGGGUAAGGAGGUGGUAUUCUUGGGAAGUUCUCCGAAGUUCACAUUAUCCUUGUUGGCGCAAUUGCUUCCUGAUCGCUGGUCAAGGAAGUCGGGGAUCUUUUUCUCUAUGGUGGUGGAGGGCGAGGCUGCCUUGCGGGUGCAGGACAUCCGGGUGGUGUGUGACUUUGCUGACGUGUUUCCAGCAGAGCUUCCAGGCAUUCCUCCGGAGCGCGAUGCAGCUUUUGAGAUUAAGCUGAUCCCGGGUACGCAGCCUAUUCAUAAGGCCCCGUAUCGAAUGGCUCCAAAGGAGCAGAUUGAAUUAAAGCGGCAAUUGGAUGAUCUGCUGGCUAAGGGCUUCAUUAGGCCUAGCAGGUCUCCAUGGGCUUCCCCAGUAUUGUUUGUUGAGAAGAAGGAUAAAAGCAAGCGGCUGUGUGUGGAUUAUCGCGCUUUGAAUCAAAUGACAAUCAAGAAUAAAUAUCCGCUUCCCCGAAUUGAGGUCCUCUUUGAGCAGUUGAGGGGUGCCCAGGUGUUCUCCAAAAUUGAUUUGAACUCUGGUUAUCAUCAAUUGAGGAUUCGUGAGGAGGAUAUUGAGAAGACUGCCUUCUGCACCAGGUAUGGGCAUUAUGAGUUCAUAGUCAUGUCCUUUGGCUUAACUAAUGCCCCUGCUGCGUUUAUGGAAGCAAUGAAUAGGAUGCUGCAUGAAUUCUUGGACGAUUUUGUGGUCGUAUUCCUAGAUGAUAUUUUGAUUUAUUCAAGGACCGAGGCCGAGCAUGAUCAGCAUCUCCGUCUUGUUCUAGGUGCCCUAAGGAAGAAUCAAUUCUUUGGCAAGUUGAAGAAGUGUGCCUUUUGGCUAUCUGAAGUGGCUUUCCUGGGGCACGUGAUUAAUCAGCAGGGUAUUGCGGUUGACCCCAAGAAUGUUGCGGCUGUAGUGGAGUGGAAGAGACCUUCUAGUGUCUCUGAAAUCCGAAGUUUCUUGGGCCUUGCUGGGUAUUAUCGGCGUUUCGUACCAAAUUUUUCCAGCAUUGCUAAGCCUUUGACUAGGCUCUUGGGGAAGGGUGUUCCCUUCGUCUGGUCCGGCGAUUGUGAGAUCAGUUACCAGUCAUUGAAGAGCAAGUUGGUGGACGCCCCUAUCCUAGCUUUGCCUGAGAGCGGUAAGCGUUUCACAGUUUAUACGGAUGCUUCGCGUAUUGGUCUUGGCUGUGUGCUGAUGCAGGAAGGCAGGGUGAUUGCUUAUGGCUCAAGGCAGUUGAGGAAGCAUGAGGGAAAUUAUCCAACUCAUGAUUUGGAAUUGGCUGCGGUGGUUUUUGCUCUAAAGUCGUGGAGGCAUUACCUUUAUGGCGAGGCUUGUGACAUUUUCACUGAUCACAAAAGUCUCAAGUAUAUUUUUACUCAGAAGGAGCUGAAUUUGAGGCAGCGUCGGUGGCUAGAAUUGAUUAAAGAUUAUGAUUUGUCCAUUCAUUAUCACCCGGGGAAGGCUAAUGUGGUGGCGGAUGCCCUUAGCAGGUCCGGGGUUCCAAAGGUGGCCUUGCCGUUGAUCGCUGAUCUAGACCGUUUGGGGAUCGCUUUGUGUCAUGUCGGCACCGCUAGCAAGGAGACUCAGAUGCUUAUUCAAUCCUCUCUUAUGGAGAGAGUGCGUGCGGCUCAGCAGCAGGAUCGUCUUUUGCAGGAAGCCCGAAGGAGGGUUGGUGAUGGUAAACCGCGGGAGUUCACCAUUGAUGAGAAUGAUUUGGUUCGUUUCAGGGGCCGUCUUUGUGUGCCUCAGAAAUCAGAGGUGAAGCUGGAUAUCCUGCGAGAAGCUCAUAAAACGCCUUACACCGUCCAUCCUGGCGAAACCAAAAUGUACCGAGAUUUGAAGCAAAACUUCUGGUGGAAGCGGAUGAAGGUUGACAUUUCUAAGUAUGUGGCCGCCUGUGAAGUAUGUCAGCGCGUGAAGGCCGAACAUAAGCGGCCUGCAGGUUUGCUGAAGCCAUUGGAAAUUCCAGAGUGGAAAUGGGAGCAUAUCACCAUGGAUUUUGUGGUGGGUCUACCUCGUUCCCCUCGUGGCAGGGAUGCUAUUUGGGUGGUAGUGGAUCGCUUGACUAAGUCUGCGCAUUUUAUUCCCAUGAAGACCACGAAUUCAGCUUCAGAUUUGGUUCCCUUGUAUAUGAAGGAAGUAGUCAGGCUUCACGGGAUACCUAAGUCUAUUGUUUCUGAUCGAGACUCCAAAUUUGUAUCCAAAUUCUGGGAGAGUCUCCACAGUGCAUUGGGCACCAAGCUUUCGCUUAGUGUCGCUUUUCACCCUCAGACGGAUGGUCAGUCAGAGCGAACAAUCCAAACCUUGGAGGAUAUGUUGCGUGCUUGUGUUCUGUCAUGGAAGGGUAGCUGGGAGGAUCAUCUUGCUCUGGCAGAGUUUGCGUAUAACAACAGCUACCAAGCUAGCAUCAAGAUGGCACCAUUUGAGGCUUUGUAUGGCAGGCGGUGUAUCUCUCCUCUGUGCUGGGAGACUUUGGGAGAGAGAUCCCUGGUUGGUCCUGAUUGGGUUCAGCAAACUUCUGAAAAGGUUCGGGAAAUUCGUCAGAAUAUUUUGGCAGCUCAGAGUCGUCAGAAGAGUUAUGCUGAUGUGAGGAGGCGGGAUCUGGAAUUUGCUGUGGGUGACCAAGUCCUUCUCAGGGUAUCACCCACUAAGGGAGUUGUUCGGUUCGGUGUCUCUAGGAAGCUCAGCCCAAGAUACAUUGGACCGUUCACUAUCUUGGCCCGAGUGGGCAGCCUGGCUUAUCGCUUGCUGCUGCCGGAUUCCAUGGUAGGGGUACACCCGGUUUUUCAUGUCUCUAUGUUGAGGAAGUUCUUGCGGGAUCCGGACCAUCAGAUUGAGAUGGAACCAAUUGCGGUGCAGCAGGAUCUGACUCUGGAGUGUCGUCCGGUGCGUAUUUUGGAAUUCUCGGAGCGUGUGUUGAGGAAGAGAUCAAUUAAGUAUGUCAAGGUCUUAUGGUCUAAUCAGUCAGAGCGCGAGGCUACGUGGGAACUUGAGGAGUUGAUGCGGCAGAAGUACCCGGAACUUUUCGUUGUGGGUAAGUGUUGUUGAUUCGCUAAGCUUUUCUUGUGUCAUUCCGAUAGAAGCGUCAGAAUUCGAGGUCGAAUUCUUUUUAAGAGGGGUAGAAUGUGAUACCCGGUUUGCAAAGAAGAGAAGUUGGGGGUUGUUCUUUUUGUUUUUUCCCUCAUCCAGUUGUUGUUUUGGGGAUUUGGAAUUUUGUGAAUAACAUUCGCAACUAGGGCAGUAGAAUUUUUUUUGGUUUGACAUUUGCGUUGCGGUCGGGAGCUGUCGCGUGGGUUAGUUGGGCCGCAAUUGGUGUUUCGGCCCAUUAGCCCUCCCAAACCCUAGCCGCCACCCUCCUAUCUACUCCCCCCCAUGUGCUGCCGCCCCCCCCCCCCCCACUCCUCCUUUCCCCUUGGCCGCCGCCCCCCCUGUCCACCUCCUCCUCCCUCCAUUGUUGCAGCCACCAAAACCCUAGCCGCCCCCCCCCCCCCCCAAUCCCCUCCUCCCUAGGUGCUACUCCGUGCCGCUCGGAUCAUCGUCUUUUGGUGCGAAUCUCCAAUCAUUUUGGUGGAAGGAAGAAGGGAGGAAGGAAAAGGGGAGAACCCAAGGUGAUUUUUCUUUUGUGUUCAUCCCUUGUUCAUUUGCGCUGCGAUUCAAUGGAUUAGAUGUUGCGUUUGCGAUUAGAUAGAGGGGGGGCUGUCCAGAAUUUUGCGUGGUGGAUGAACAGCGGUAGUUCCAGCAGUUUUUAGUUUUUUUUCGUGAAGAUUUAAUGGGGAUCAAUUUGGGAAUCUUGUAGAACUUUGUUUUAUCUUUCCAACGAGUAUUUAUGUGCUCAAUUUGGAGUUAUAAAUUAAAAGUUAUCAUCGUUUGAAUCCGGGUAUGUGGCUGUCCAGAAAACAGAUUUUUCAGAGUGAUGAACAGCAGCAGUGUUAGCAGUUUCUGGGGAUUUUUCGGGAGCAAUUAGUGUUAAUCAGUAUGAGAAUCUUGUAGAACUUUGUUUUAUCUUUCCAACGAGUAUUUAUGCGCUCAAUUUGGAGUUAUAAAUUAAAAGUUAUCAUCGUUUGAAUCCGGGUAUGUGGCUGUCCAGAAAACAGAUUUUUCAGAGUGAUGAACAGCAGCAGUGUUAGCAGUUUCUGGGGAUGUUUCGGGAGUAAUUAGUGUUAAUCAGUAUGAGAAUCAUGUAGGGCUUUUUCUUAUCUUUCCAACAAGUACUUAUGCGCUCAAAUCGGAAUUAUAUUUUAAAAGUUAUCGCUGUUUGAAUCCGCGUAUGUCGCUGCUCAAAUCAGAAAAAAACAGAUUGCAGGGUUUAUUUUGAGGACCGUUUAGAGGUAAGUAGAUGUUAGAAUUCAAUCAUGAGUUGUAUACAAAACUUGUGGGGAAUUUUAUGUAGUUGUCUCUGAAGUUUUUGUUUAUCAUCACUGCUGUCCUAAAUUUUAAGUUAUGGAAUUGUUAAGCAGCGCGCUGCAGUUUGGUUAGUGAGGGGAGAAUUGUUACCGUGGCGGGGUUUGAGAUUGCGCGUAGGUGCGGUGUUGUCUUUGAGUUUUUUUUCAUGAGAAUUUGGCGCACUAAGUUGGGUGUCAAAAACAGGUGGUGGACUUCUGGAUCGUUCUUAGGGAUUUUGCCCGAACUUCGGUAAAGGCAAGUAAAACAGUGAUGGUUAUUUCGUCUUUUGAUUGAAGAGUCUCAUACUUGAUUAUGUUUGUGCUACUUGUGUUCAUAUCCAUAUUCCUAAUUGGGUACCAUCGUUUGAAAUUAUUCAUGCUCUGUUGAUUAUACAUGUGGAGGGUGUGGUUUGAUCAUGUUACCCAUGUGGUUAUUGAUGUGAAAUGGGUGGAGGUAUAUGUCUAGCACAUCUUAUUUGGGAAGAACUCAUGUUGUUGACAUGCAUAAUGCAUUCAUCAUCCAUUGCAUUGAAGUUUUCGUCGCGAUCUUAUGGUCCGACCGUACCGGUACAAUGAGCAUCAUAUGUUUUCCCGAGAAGGGGUAUGAUGCAGCUUCAUAUCCUUAGAGGUAUGAAGGCAGAAGUCAUGUUGCAUCUGUAGCCAUGUGCAUUCAUGGGUGAAGUGUGGAACCUAUUUUGGUGAUGUGGAUAAGGUGGAUCUUUACUUUGUAAUUCUUCUUGGCAUUGAGUAAUUGAGUAUUUGCUUACUUGCUGCAAAUUAAUAUUUAAGGAAGAAGUUGGGAACCAUGUGGUUGCUUAUGCACGGUUGGCUUGCAUUGUCCAACUGUUGUUUGUUUUUUUUACUUGCUGAGAUGUGUCAUCUCACUCUUGCAUUGUCUGAUGCAGGCACCUGAUCUUUGCUUUGGGAGAAGGGAUGUAGCAGCACGGCCACCACACUUUUAAAUAAAGGAAUAACUGAUUAUUAAUGAUGUUAAACAGGAAGGGUCAAGUCUAGGGAAUUAUUACAUUCUAAUCUUUCAUGGUAGUUGAACUGUUUAGUUUGGUGGGCUGAGAUGACUAUCUUUUGUCUGGUCAUGAAUGUUCUUUUCUACCGUUGCAUUUCGAUUAUACUAUGUCAAUUAUCUUUCUUUUAUAUCCUGUAUAAACUAUAUGCUUUCCUUGUUAUGCUACUUUCAAGGGAGGUGCUGCCGGAUUUUGCAAUACUUUCUUUCUCUAUGUGUUGCAUAAGUUUUGUAGAAAGGUUUCUUUUGGUAUCAUCCAUUGUGUGGGAUCAGUGGGGUGUUACAAGUAUCUUCAACAUUAGCAGGCACAUCAAUUUUUUCCGCUGAAGCCGAGGGCGGGGUCUUUUGGAUGGCUUGCAUCACGUCCAUCAUUCAUCGUUUCUUCUGACCCUC
rnacentral:lncRNA from 1 species